CUCACUUCUUUACCUUCGCCGCGGCGGGCCUCGGACUUGCAGCACGUGCACACCUAGAGGAAGACCCGACAGUCAAUCUGGUUGUUUCCGUUGCUGUGCUCAGGGCAUUGUAGUUUGGAUCAAGAUCAUCUCUUGCUUAAAUGAUUUCUCCAUCUCCAGUUCCCACCCCACCACUUGUGGGAUUAUUCUAAAGUGCAAAUGUGAUCAUUAAAAUGUGUCAUGACUUCCCUGUGCCCCUAAAAUAAGGUACCAACACCUUAACAAGGGUUUCAUUGCCUGGCCUCUUCCUGCUCCUCCAGCCUUCUCUCACUCUGUGUUCCAAUCACUUUCAAAUACUACGUUCUUUUUUUUUUUUUUUUAAUCUUUAAAAUGUUUUUCUUUUAUUGUGAUGAAAUACACAUAACAUAAAAUUUACGAUUUUAAACAUUUUUAAGUGUACACUUCAGUGGCAUUAAUUACAUGCACAUUGUUGUGCAACCGUCACCACGGUCUGUCUCCAGAACUUUUUCAUCUUUCCAAACUGAAACUCUGAACUCUUUGAACAAUAACUCCCCAUCCCUCCAUUGCUUCCAGCCCCUGGCAACCACCAUUCUACUUUCUGUCUCUAUUAACUUGACUACUCUAGGUACCUCGUGUAAGUGGAAUCACACAGUAGUUGUCCUUUUGUGACUGGCUUAUUUCAGUUAGCAUAAUAUCCUCAAGGUUGUACUUUAACACAAGAGGCUGCUUCUUACCUCAAGGCCUUUUUGCCUGUGGAAACAAUGUAAUAAGCAUUCUGAACUCUGCUGAACACAGUCCUGGCUUGCUUUUAAGCGAUGCCGUCCGCCAUACUCUGUCAGUUCUCCCUUUUCGGCUCUGAAAGAUUCUGUAGCUUUCUGUUAGCUUAGUUAUUAGAAGUCCAGCCUAGUGUAGUUAGUCCACUUUAAAACUUCAGUCUCAUAUCAAGUUUACAUUCCUUCCUUCCCCUCAGCACCAGACAGUCUUCAGCGUGGGACUCAGUUUGGGGAACUGGUGCAUUCUGUCCUUUAAUAGAACUCUUUUUUGCUAAUUUAAGCUACUUGUUGUGUUGGGACCUGGAAGAGGGUCUGGGACGAAGGGCAAAACAUCCUUUUACCUAACUGGGCAUGUCAUGGCAAUCAUCAGUUGGUGGUUUGCCUCUCAGGCUAAAGCUGACUGAUGGUGGAUACCGUCCAUUUGGAAGGUGCCCAAAUGCUAACUCUUAUGGGCACAUGGAUUAGUUUCCUGGGAGCUCUCUCCAUCGCACAGUCCCCUGAUGGGACAUCUGCUCCAGCCUAACUGCUUCCCACGAGGCCUCAGGUCCUGCCUUUGGCUGUAUAACUAAGCUCCCCUGGCUACUGGUUUUCUUGGGAGGAGGACCAGCAAGAUGGCUCCAGCUGUGUUGAUUUUCACACUGUUCCUUUGACUUACAGGAAACUCACAUGUCCCUGCUAAACCACAUUGCAGGAGUGACAACCCUUUUUCCCCGUCAACCCUCACUCCUUAUUCCAACGAUCACAGAGAACAGAUCAGCAAGCUCAACAGCAGAUAUCCAGCCACCGACUGAGAUGCAGUCUCUCCUUGCCAACCCAUCAAUUUCUAUGAGUGGUUCCCUCGGAGACCCCUCGCUCGGGGGAGUGUGCCUACACCGGUGAAGGCCCAUGGUAUUAUCAUUAUUUCAGCCUGACAACCCCACCACAUGCGAUCACGUAAGCUCCCCCAAAUUUCACCUCUGAUUUAUCGUUGUUUCUUCCAUACAUUCUGGCUUCAUGUCUUUUGCAAAAUAGAUGCUCAAAUGUUUGGGGAUGAACAAAUAAAUGAAUUAAUGAAAGAACAAAUGAACAAACUUCAAAGGCUGGGAGAAUAUUGAUUUAGGGUGAUCAGAAUGUAGCAGCUUCCAACAGUGAAGACUUCUGCACAAAGGCCUGAAAGGAGUGAGCUUAAAGAACAGAAAGGGAGGGCUUCCCUGGUGGCGCAGUGGUUGAGAGUCCACCUGCUGAUGCGGGGGACACGGGUUCAUGCCCAGGUCCGGGAAGAUCCCACAUGCCUCGGAGCAGCUGGG